rnacentral:rRNA from 1 species
UACGGGGGGGGCAAGCGUUGUUCGGAAUUACUGGGCGUAAAGCGCGCGUAGGCGGCUCUUCAAGUCGAGUGUGAAAGCUCCAGGCUUAACCUGGGAAUUGCGCUCGAUACUGUUGAGCUAGAGUGUGGAAGGGGCUACUGGAAUUCCGUGUGUAGCGGUGAAAUGCGUAGAUAUACGGAGGAACACCAGCGGCGAAGGCGGGUAGCUGGGCCAACACUGACGCCAAAGUGCGAAAGCUAGGGGAGCAAACGGG